ACCAAGGAAAAUCCAAAAAGUUCCAUGAAAUUGACAAAAUGAAACGUUAUCAACCAAUGAAGCUUGAUACGUAAAAAUGAUAAAAGUCAUACUUCUUAUUCUGCUAGUUGUGCCGAAUACUGUAGCAGUUUGUGAAGAUUGUUAUAAACAUUGUACGGAUUUAGACUGUUCAGAUGGACACUGUGAAAAUGGCGGUUGUACUUGCACUUGUUGUGGUAGUUGUGAUGCCCCUUCUUCUACACCAUCUCCGAAAACUUGAAUUAUCGAAGACCUCUAGCAUUCAAUACGCCCACAAUUGAAACAUUGGAUAGACAAAGAAGACAAUUUAACAAACACUGUUGAAUAUCUUAA